CCUACGUGAGGCAGCAGUGGGGAAUAUUGCACACUGGGGGAAACCCUGAUGCAGCGACGCCGCGUGAGUGAAGACGUAAUUCGUUAUGUAAAGCUCUAUCAGCAGGGAAGAAAAUGACGGUACCUGAGUAAGAAGCCCCGGCUAACUACGUGCCAGCAGCCGCGGUAAUACGUAGGGGGCAAGCGUUAACCGGAUUUACUGGGUGUAAAGGGAGCGUAGACGGCAGUGCAAGUCUGGAGUGAAAGGCGGGGGCUCAACCCCCGGACUGCUCUGGAAACUGUACGGCUGGAGUGCAGGAGAGGUAAGUGGAAUUCCUAGUGUAGCGGUGAAAUGCGUAGAUAUUAGGAGGAACACCAGUGGCGAAGGCGGCUUACUGGACUGUAACUGACGUUGAGGCUCGAAAGCGUGGGGAGCAAACAGGAUUAGAUACCCUUGUAGUC
rnacentral:rRNA from 1 species